rnacentral:rRNA from 1 species
GAACGAUACAGUGGCAGACGGGUGAGUAACGCGUGGGAACGUACCUUUCACUACGGAAUAGCUCCGGGAAACUGGUGGUAAUACCGUAUACGCCCUCAGGGGGAAAGAUUUAUCGGUGAAAGAUCGGCCCGCGUUGGAUUAGCUAGUUGGUGAGGUAAUGGCUCACAAAGGCGACGAUCCAUAGCUGGUCUGAGAGGAUGAUCAGCCACAUUGGGACUGAGACACGGCCCAAACUCCUACGGGAGGCAGCAGUGGGGAAUCUUGCACAAUGGGCGAAAGCCUGAUGCAGCCAUGCCGCGUGAAUGAUGAAGGCCUUAGGGUUGUAAAAUUCUUUCGUCAGGGAUGAUAAUGACCGUACCUGAAGAAGAAGCCCCGGCUAACUUCGUGCCAGCAGCCGCGGUAAUACGAAGGGGGCUAGCGUUGUUCGGAAUUACUGGGCGUAAAGCGCACGUAGGCGGACUUUUAAGUCAGGUGUGAAAUCCCGGGGCUCAACCUCGGAACUGCAUUUGAAACUGGAAGUCUUGAGACCAGGAGAGGUUAGCGGAAUACCGAGUGUAGAGGUGAAAUUCGUAGAUAUUCGGUGGAACACCAGUGGCGAAGGCGGCUAACUGGACUGGUACUGACGCUGAGGUGCGAAAGUGUGGGGAGCAAACAGGAUUAGAUACCCUGGUAGUCCACACCGUAAACGAUGAGAGCUAGUUGUUGGCAGGCAUGCCUGUCGGUGACGCAGCUAACGCAUUAAGCUCUCCGCCUGGGGAGUACGGCCGCAAGGUUA